CCUACGGGCGGCAGCAGUGGGGAAUAUUGGGCAAUGGGCGCAAGCCUGACCCAGCAACGCCGCGUGAAGGAAGAAGGCUUUCGGGUUGUAAACUUCUUUUAAGAGGGAAGAGCAGAAGACGGUACCUGACGAAUAAGCCACGGCUAACUACGUGCCAGCAGCCGCGGUAAUACGUAGGUGGCAAGCGUUAUCCGGAUUUACUGGGUGUAAAGGGCGUGUAGGCGGGACUGCAAGUCAGAUGUGAAAACCACGGGCUCAACCGGUGGCCUGCAUUUGGAACUGUAGUUCUUGAGUACUGGAGAGGCAGACGGAAUUCCUAGUGUAGCGGUGAAAUGCGUAGAUAUUAGGAGGAACACCAGUGGCGAAGGCGGUCUGCUGGACAGCAACUGACGCUGAGGCGCGAAAGCGUGGGGAGCAAACAGGAUUAGAUACCCGAGUAGUC
rnacentral:rRNA from 1 species